AGCACGUUUGAAGCUAAGGUAACGUUAGUCUUUAAAAAUUAUUUAACAUAUGUAACAGAUUUCUCAUGGCUUAGCCAUUAAGAGAUUAAUGCUCUGCUAACUAUUUUUCGUAUAUUGAAUAUUUCUCUGUUAACUCCAGCAGAAAAUUCCCUAUUUUGGAGAUAGUGACCCACUGGAGACAUAUGAGAGAAUGAGCCAAAUAAUUCCAGCCAAAAGUCCUUGACCAACAUAAUAUGUCGUAAUAUGCUUUUCUAAAUUUAAUUUACCUGAAGAGAAGAUGGACACUUUUGUGAUGGACACAAAGGACCUCAAAAACUGAAGAUGCUCAGUUAGUAAAGAAUCUGACUGCAGUGCAGGAGACCCGGGUUUGAUUCCUGGGUGGGGAAGAUCCCCUGAAGGAAAUGGCAACCCCCUCCAGUAUUCUUGCCUGGAGAAUCCCAUGAACAGAGGAGCAUAGAGGCUACAGUCCAUGGGUUCUGCAGGUGGAGCAAUGGCAAAGAAUCCACCCACCAACCAGGAGAUGCAAGAGAUGCAGAUUUGAUC
ensembl:lncRNA